UAUGACAAGAGCUUAUUAAUACUGUAGUGCAGUCAACAUCCGUUAGUGAUAAUGAUGUCUCUUGUCUCCUUCACACAAGCCACGAAGGUUUUCAAAGGGAGGAAAAAUUAAGCACAUGAUGCGUGUUGGGGCUUCAGGACAAUACAAGGUAAUUUGGAGGCAGAGAAGAUCCACAGCCCAUCCAGGAUUGGGACUUGGCAAGGAGGUAUUCAACUGAAUGACAAUGCAACAAGGGACUCUAAGAUAUUAGAAAGAGAGCAGUGGAAGUACUGAAUUAUGGAAUUGACAACAGAUGAGUCUGGAUUAUACCUAACUGAUCAAGUUCAGGGGCAAUAUAGUCCAUCUACACCCCUCUGAUUAUAUUUCACAAUUGACUUCCUAUUUUCCCAAGUCUUCAUAUUAAUACUUGGUUAGGUAACAAUGUUACUUGUGUAUCCACUCCCAUGGCAAUAUCCACCUACUUAAUAUAUACUACAUACAACAUACU